GAAGAGGCUGCGUGAAAGUCUUCUUGCUGGAAUUACUUUAUUUAAUAGAGGACGAAAGGGGGUGGCUGAUAAAAUGCUGCUCGAAAAUUACAUUGACAGAGCAAAAGAACCAUUUAAUGGAAGUAGGUUUGAUACCCUAACAAAAUUAGAACGGAGUCUUGGGGACGAGUUAAUCCGAAUAGAAAUCUCUUGUGGAGAUGGAAGUGCAGUUAUUGCUUUACUCAUGGAAAGGAUGGCAUCAUCUUUGGAUGUCCUUAUCAAAUACCGCAAGGAAGUAGAUGUUCCUGUGGACAACCCUUACAUUUUUGCUCGAAUGGGGGCUUCUACUCACAUAAGCCGCUGACUGCCUAAGACGUUUUGCCCAAAACUGUAGUGCUGAAAGUCCAGAAAGUCUAACAUCUGGAUAUACACAUAAGCAUGUUGCUAUUCUUUACCAAAUUCUGAGCCUUAAUGAUGGUGAAAAGAAAAACAUAGCUAAACUUGUGGGUGAUGUCAGCUAUGAUUACCAAGGGCUGAAUGAAAAAUCUUUGCAGUUGGCAAACAUCUGCAGCCUACUACAUACAAUGGAAAAAGGAACAAUCCCAUGUACAGAAAAUUGUAAUGCAGGUGAAUUAACAACUGCUGUUGAAAGUCCUGGCAGCCAUGCAGAUGACAAUGGAGAAGUAACUGAUGCAGGUCCUGGGCGGGUUGCCAGAUCAAGAGAAAAAAGAAAAAAAACGGGGGGAAGAGGAACAAAAUGCAGUGAGGAAGCAGAUGGGGAAGUAUAUAACCCUCAGGAAGGUCCCAGGCAAAAGGGACUGUCUGGACUGCAUAAAGAAGGAGCCAGAUGCUCUUAAAUCAAGGACAUGGAAGGAUAUCAAAAAAUUACAUCCAUAAUAUUAUACAAUCAAACAAAAGGAGAGCAACAUCCAGGCAGAUGGGAAAGGAUCAUUAUGAAAGUGAUGGAGAAGAUUGUGCUGAAGCCUUUGCUACGGAUGCAGCUGUAGAUGGGCUUGUAAAAGAUAGCAGCUGUAAUAAAAGAAGACAACCAUAUUGGGUGUGAAUGGAAGCCUGCAUGUUGAUUUUGCAGAAUGUUUGUGUUGACAG
ensembl:lncRNA